rnacentral:sRNA from 1 species
UAUGCCUGGGUGGAGAAGUACUUCGGCCCUGACUUUCUGGAGCAGAUUGUGCUGACCAGAGACAAGACCGUGGUCUCUGCUGACCUUCUCAUAGACGACCGGCCAGACAUCACAGGCAAGUGGCCUGCGACAGGGGCCGAGCCAACCCCCAGCUGGGAGCAUGUCCUCUUCACCGCCUGCCACAACCAGCACCUGCAGCUGCAGCCCCCGCGCCGCAGGCUGCACUCGUGGGCGGACGACUGGAAGGCCAUUCUGGACAGCAAGCGGCCCUGCUGAGCUGGACUGUGCUUCAGGCUCCUCUGUGGGGCUCUGACCUCAGGGCUCCCACCUCGGGGCCUGUGGGGCCAGUACGCUGGUCUGGGAGUCCCUCCUAGACUCCUGGGCCCCAUGACCUCCUGCUGCAUGUCCCUUCCUUUCCCCAGCCCUGCCAGGCCUUAACCUGAUUACGGGGCAGGGCUGGGCCCUCUGGGCGAUUGGUCAUAGACACGUGGUCCCAGGCCAUUCAGCCUGACCUCAGGCAGCAGGCUGCAAGCUGCC